rnacentral:tRNA from 1 species
GCCCGGCUAGCUCAAUGGUCAGAGCGUGGGACUUUUACAAUGAUCAAACGAUCAUCCCAAGGCUGCGGGUUCGAGUCCCGCGUCAGGCU